rnacentral:tRNA from 1 species
GGGAUUAUAGUUUAACUGGUUGAAAUGUACUGUUCAUAACGGUGAUAAUGUAGGUUUGAACCCUACUAUGCCUA